rnacentral:rRNA from 1 species
UACCUGCCCAGUGCGAAAUAUUAAUGUAAACGGCCGCCCUAGCGUGAGGGUGCUAAGGUAGCGAAAUUCCUUGCCUUUUGAUUGUAGGCCUGCAUGAAUGGUUUAACGAGGGUUUAGCUGUCUCUAAAUUUUUAAUUGAAAUUGUAUUGAAGGUGAAGAUACCUUCAUUUAAAAGUUAGACAAAAAGACCCCGUGCAACUUUGAAAAUUAACUUUAUUCAGGGGUAAAAGAUUUUUAGGUGGGGCGCCUAGAAAGUAAGCCUAACCUUUCUGAGUAGGAGUUUCUUUCAGGAGUUGACCCGAUUAUAUUCGAUCAUAGGAGAAGUUACGCCGGGGAUAACAGGCUAAUCCUUUAGUAGAGCUCGUAUUGGCUAAAGGGAUUGGCACCUCGAUGUUGAAUCAGGGAUGAUAGCUUCAAGGCGUAGAGGCUUUGAGAGUAGGUCUGUUCGACCUUUAAUACCCUACGUGA